AGUGAACGCUGGCGGUAGGCCUAACACAUGCAAGUCGAACGGCAGCACAGUAAGAGCUUGCUCUUACGGGUGGAGAGUGGCGGAAGGGUGAGGAAUACAUCGGAAUCUACUUUUUCGCGGGGGAUAACGUAGGGAAACUUACGCUAAUACCGCAUACGACCUACGGGUGAAAGCAGGGGAUCUUCGGACCUUGCGCGAUUGAAUGAGCCGAUGUCGGAUUAGCUAGUUGGCGGGGUAAAGGGCCACCAAGGCGACGCUCCGUAGCUGGUAUGAGCGGAUGAUCAGCCACACUGGAUGUGAGACACGGUCCAGACUCCUGCGGGAGGCAGCGGUGGGGACUAUUGGACAAUGGGCGCAAGCCUGAUCCAGCCAUACCGCGUGGGUGAAGAAGGCCUUCGGGUGGUAAAGCCCUUUUGUUGGGAAAGAAAAGCAGCAGGUUAAUCCGCCGCUGUUCUGACGGUACCCAAAGAAUAAGCACCGGCUAACUUCGUG
rnacentral:rRNA from 1 species